rnacentral:ncRNA from 1 species
AAGUCCGGCCCGGGUAAGCCGUAGCGGGCGCCCAGUAGCGAGUGUUGCGUCAGUGUCGGUGACAGCCCUGGCGAAGCGUACACAACGAUCCUGUGGGGUGGGCGAUUGAGCCGCGAAAGCCAGCAACUCGCAGAGGCCGAGCCGGUCAGCAACGUCGAAGGCAACAUGUGCGAUGCCGCUAUGCGAGACACUGACGCUCUGCCGUGGUCGAAGACC